GAAACAAAAUGUUUGUUCGUUGAAAAAUGUGCAGUAACUGGACAUGCAAACACAUUGUAAAAGGGUUGAAGGAAAGUAUUAAAGCGAUACAGAAAAAUCCUGCUCCUCUAUCGCGAGGGAUCGUUCUAAUGCACGAUUUUGAGCUUCAGCACUCCACCUUCAGGACCCAAACAAGAAGACUUAUUUCAUCUCUGAAGACCUGAAGACAACUAGCGUUACUACUGCAGCCCUUUUCAUUUUCCUUGUUGCACUAUUUGACCAUGCCACGUUCCAGCAAACGUUCUACAGCGGCCAAGAAGAACUGGUCUCGUUCAGAUCAUGAAUGCAAAGAACCCAGUCAAAGUUGCAGACAUAAUGCUGACCCCAUCUCGCCAAAAUCAAGGACAGAAUGCUAUUUUCAUCAAUGAACGAUCCCAAUUGACAUGUGUGCAAAACUUGGCCUUUUGUUACGAUGAGUUUCUUCCAAACAACCAGCAGACCAGAUCAAUAACGACAUCAUUUCUGAUCCAAGAACACAUCGAAUAGAAAGUCACUUAAAAUGAUUUACCAUGUAAAAAAAUCAGAAGUGCUAUCCUAAUAUUAUACAUAUAAAUAAUGCAUCUGUUUCAAUGUCCUGUAAUAGGAAAUCAUGCCAAGGAACUUGCCAUUUGACUUUUUGUAAUACUAUAAUUUGUAACAGAUUUCACAUGAAACCUUGCAGUAAUCUGAAUGCAUAAAGGGGUUUUACAGUGUGUUGAUUUACUAAAAUGUUGUUUAAAUGUUUCCUGUGUGUGCAGGUAAAUGUACUGGUAAAAGUCUUGGAGCAGAGAGAAAAGGAGAAAAUCAUGACUAGGACCCACAAAGUGAUGGACAAACAGUGUAUGCUGUGUCUGACAUGACUGCCUCCAUCAUGGUCACGUGUGGGGAAAUGAUGUGUUGGUGAUAGACAAAUGGUACACUUUUAGAGAUGUGUCUGUCCGUUUUUUCUAUAGCAAAGUCCUGCUGACAACCACACCACAAAGCACUUUCAACAUUGCUGAAGAUUCAGGAGCAGCAAAACAUUGGUUAACCUGCUCAAUAUGAUUUUUCAUUGGGUGACAUGCCUCAAAAAACACAAAAUACAAAUUAGGUAACAAAUGAUACUAUAGUUGAAAUGUGUUUAUACUAUUUCUUAAAUUGUACCCAAUGUUUUCAAUUACAAACCUUUGUUUCAUGUUAAAAUGUAGCUGUAAUCCUUAAUCAUGUUGUGUAAUAUUGUUUUUCACUCAGUGAGAUCAUUGAAUGAUUACUAAAGAAUAAUUUGUUGAGUUUUUGUUUGUGCCUUGUUAUCACAAUUACAAAUCUCCUUGUU